rnacentral:rRNA from 1 species
AAACCUGCGAAACUCGAAUGAACGAACGGAGAGAUUCAUCGUCAUUCCGCGGCGUACUAGUCCGCGCCUCGAUGUUCGCGCCUCGGUGCGAACACGGGUCGGACGUGUCGACGUUCGCGGACGGCGCGCACUUCUCUCUUAGUAACACUGACAUCGCGACCCGUUCGACGUGAGAGUACAAUUUCGGUCUAAGCGUGAUUCGGGAGCCGCGCGGCGACGUCUAAACCGCGUCCGCCGCUCGACCGUGAUCAUCGCCGACCGGCGUCGGACGGUAGUCUGUAUGAAUCGCGCACGCGUUUUAACGCGUCAGGCCCGACGCAAGCGUUUCGUGUCGUCGCUCGUUUCCUGCCUAUGUGCGGACGCGGGCGCGGCGCCGCUGUCGUCGCAGCCGUGCUGUCUCUGACCGUGCGCGUAUCCGUCUGCGAUGUUUCAGUUUCGGGCACUCGCAGGAC